rnacentral:rRNA from 1 species
CCUACGGGAGGCAGCAGUGGGGGAUAUUGCACAAUGGGGGAAACCCUGAUGCAGCGACGCCGCGUGGGUGAAGAAGCGCCUCGGCGCGUAAAGCCCUGUCAGCAGGGAAGAAAAUGACGGUAUCUAUAGAAGAAGCCCCGGCUAACUACGUGCCAGCAGCCGCGGUAAUACGGAGGGGGCCAGCGUUAUCCGGAUGUACUGGGUGUAAAGGGGGCGCAGACGGCGAUGCAAGCCAGGAGUGAAAGCCCGGGGCUCAACCGCGGGACUGCUCUUGGAACUGCGUGGCUAGAGUGCAGGAGGGGCAGGCGGAAUUCGUGGUGUAGCGGUGAAAUGCGUAGAUAUCAGGAGGAACACCGGUGGCGAAGGCGGCCUGCUGGACUGCAACUGACGUUGAGGCCCGAAAGCGUGGGGAGCAAACAGGAUUAGAUACCCUUGUAGUC